AUGACAUAUCGCAAUGCUUGUAUUACUAUUGCCUCAUUAAAAACCUUUCAUGAGAAACCAUCCAGGAAAACCUACCUGGAGAAGCUGUGCGUGAGCCUGUCCAGCGCGUUGUUCGCGUUCCUCAUGCUGGACACCCACAAGUACAGGUCUGCUCACAACAAGAUAUCGUCGCCGCUCUUCCCCGUGCUGCUGUGCUGGGCGCUUGGGUACGUGGUGGCUCAGCUCUUCUUCGGGGUGGUGGAGACGUCGGUGGAGACGAUAAUCCUGUCCUUCUGCCAGGACACUGAGGAGCACGACGGGGAGGUGCAGUACGCUCCCCCUCUGCUCAUGGAGACGCUGGGCGACACGAGCCAGCUGCAGACGCUCACGCAGGGGCCGAAAACCUAUCUGGGGAAGCUGUGCGUGAGCCUGUCCAGCGCGCUGUUCGCGUUCCUCAUGCUGGACACCCACAAGUACAGGUCUGCUCACAACAAGAUAUCGUCCCCGCUCUUCCCCGUGCUGCUCUUCUUCGGGGUGGUGGAGACGUCGGUGGCGACGAUAAUCUUGUCCUUCUGCCAGGACGUUGAGGAGCACGGCGGGGAGGCGCGGUACGCUCCCUCUCUGCUCAUGGAGACGCUUGGCGACAUGAGCCAGCUGCAGAGGCUCACGCAGGGGCCGAAAACCUACCUGGGAAAGCUGUGCGUGAGCCUAUCCAGCGCGCUGUUCGCGUUCCUCAUGCUGGACACCCACAAGUACAGGUCUGCUCACAACAAGAUAUCGUCCCCGCUCUUCCCCGUGCUGCUGUGCUGGGCGCUUGGGUACGUGGUGGCUCAGCUCUUCUUCGGCGUGGUGGAGACGUCGGUGGAGACGAUAAUCCUGUCCUUCUGCCAGGAUGCUGAGGAGCACGACGGGGAGGCGCAGUACGCUCCCCCUCUGCUCAUGGAGAUGCUGGGCGACACGAGCCAGCUGCAGAGGCUCACGCAAGGGCAUGCCUGGCUACAGACCGUGGAAAAGACCUCUACUAGUAGUAGUGUGGAUGGAGUUUCCUUUGUGAUGGGAAAACCUACCUGGGCCAUCCUGGAAAACCUACCUGGGGAAGCUGUGCAUGAGCCUGUCCAGCGCGCUGUUCGCGUUUCUCAUGUUGGACACCCACAAGUACAGGUCUGCUCAAUAUCGUCCCCGCUCUUCCCCGUGCUGCUGUGCUGGGCGCUUGGGUACAUGGUGGCUCAGCUCUUCUUCGGCGUGGUGGAGACGUCGGUGGAGACGAUAAUCUCGUCCUUCUGCCAGGACGCUGAGGAGCACGACUGGGAGGCGCAGUACGCUCCCCCUCUGCUCAUGGAGACGCUGGGCGACACGAGCCAGCUGCAGAGGCUCACGCAGGGGCCGUGA
rnacentral:rRNA from 1 species